rnacentral:misc_RNA from 1 species
GGCUUUUUCAGCAGAGAUCACCGGUGCGUAGGAAGAAAGCAUGAAGUGGAUACGUGGGUAGGGGACCAGAUUGGUCUGAAACUCUGUCACAUCAACAUUCAGCGCACCGUCGAACCUCAGAGAGGCUGUCAAAGACGAUAUCACCUGUGAGAUGAGACGGUUGAGAUUGGUGUAAGUGGGGCGCUCGAUAUCGAGGGAGCGGCGACAGAUGUCGUAGAUGGCCUCGUUAUCGAGGAGG